rnacentral:rRNA from 1 species
UACGUAGGGGGCGAGCGUUGUCCGGAAUCACUGGGCGUAAAGCGCGCGUAGGCGGCCCGUUGCAUCCGGCGUGAAAGCCCUGGGCUCAACCCAGGGAGGCCGACGGAGAUGGGCGGGCUAGAGGAGCGUAGAGGCAGGCGGAAGUCCCGAAGUAGUGGUGAAAUGCGUAGAGAUCGGGAGGAACACCAGUGGCGAAGGCGGCCUGCUGGGCGCGACCUGACGCUGAGGCGCGAAAGCCGGGGGAGCGAACGG